CAGUCGCCGCGGUAAUACGAAGGGGGCUAGCGUUGUUCGGAUUUACUAGGCGUAAAGCGCACGUAGGCGGAUCGAUCAGCCAGGGGUGAAAUCCUGGAGCUCAACUCCAGAACUGCCUUUGAUACUGUCGAUCUCGAGUCCGGAAGAGGUGAGUGGAACUCCUAGUGUAGAGGUGGAAUUCGUAGAUAUUAGGAAGAACACCAGUGGCGAAGGCGGCUCACUGGUCCGGUACUGACGCUGAGGUGCGGAAGCGUGGGGAGCAAACAGGAUUAGAUACCCGCGUAGUCCCUGUCUCUUAUAC
rnacentral:rRNA from 1 species